AUUGAACGCUGGCGGCAGGCCUAACACAUGCAAGUCGAGCGGAUGAAGGGAGCUUGCUCCUGGAUUCAGCGGCGGACGGGUGAGUAAUGCCUAGGAAUCUGCCUGGUAGUGGGGGAUAACGUCCGGAAACGGGCGCUAGUACCGCAUACGUCCUGAGGGAGAAAGUGGGGGAUCUUCGGACCUCACGCUAUCAGAUGAGCCUAGGUCGGAUUAGCUAGUUGGUGGGGUAAAGGCCUACCAAGGCGACGAUCCGUAACUGGUCUGAGAGGAUGAUCAGUCACACUGGAACUGAGACACGGUCCAGACUCCUACGGGAGGCAGCAGUGGGGAAUAUUGGACAAUGGGCGAAAGCCUGAUCCAGCCAUGCCGCGUGUGUGAAGAAGGUCUUCGGAUUGUAAAGCACUUUAAGUUGGGAGGAAGGGCAGUAAGUUAAUACCUUGCUGUUUUGACGUUACCAACAGAAUAAGCACCGGCUAACUUCGU
rnacentral:rRNA from 1 species